CGCCGCAACCGCUUCCGGGGCACGCGAGAGCGGCCGGGCGGACAGGGAGGGCGGGGCUGGGGACGAUAAAGCCCCGCCCUGUGAGCGGACGCGGUCGCUUCCUCCCAUUUUGCUUUCAGGAACUGAUUGGAUCUUCAUUCUUUGCCAAGAGACUGUGGCUUGAUUCCUGGCACAAUCUAAGAAGGCAAGGGACUCACCUGCUGUAUUGGCAGAGGCAACGCUUCACCUGCACAUGAUGGUUGCGUUGACUCAUCAUUUGGAAAAAGCACUAGGGAGAGGGUCAGCAGGCUGCAUUGUAAAUAUUGGUUUGGCAUUAUAUUUUAUACCUGAGUGACUCAGUUACAAUAUCUUGCUAAAUAAAUAUUGGAAACAAAA